CCUACGGGAGGCUGCAGUGGGGAAUAUUGGACAAUGGGCGAAAGCCUGAUCCAGCCAUGCCGCGUGUGUGAAGAAGGCCUUCGGGUUGUAAAGCACUUUCAGUGGGGAAGAAAGCCUUGGGGCUAAUACCCUCGAGGAAGGACAUCACCCACAGAAGAAGCACCGGCUAACUCCGUGCCAGCAGCCGCGGUAAUACGGAGGGUGCGAGCGUUAAUCGGAAUUACUGGGCGUAAAGCGCGCGUAGGCGGUCUGAUAAGCCGGUUGUGAAAGCCCCGGGCUCAACCUGGGAACGGCAUCCGGAACUGUCAGGCUAGAGUGCAGGAGAGGAAGGUAGAAUUCCCGGUGUAGCGGUGAAAUGCGUAGAGAUCGGGAGGAAUACCAGUGGCGAAGGCGGCCUUCUGGACUGACACUGACGCUGAGGUUCGAAAGCGUGGGUAGCAAACAGGAUUAGAUACCCGUGUAGUC
rnacentral:rRNA from 1 species